UCGACCAGGCCUGUGGAGCUCCUGGGAGGCUCAGCACCCAGAUUUGAGCCCCUGGCUUCCCCGCUGGGGGUGGAGGGCACGGAAGUGACCCCGGCUCUGUGCUCCCACGUUGACCACACGUCAACCCGAAGACCCCUUUGGAAAGGAAAGUUUGAAAGUGGAGAAAUGUACGAAGAAAAUUAAAAUCACCUGCAUCCUUGCCACCCAGAAAAAGACACACAAAUGCCCUGGAUUGCUAGAGGUCCAUGUUCCAGUCCUGACUCUGUGACUCAUUAGCUGUUUGGCCUUACAGGACUCAGCUUUUGGUGUCUCUCAUCUGUAAAAUGGAUACAUUUUGAUUCAAAGUUCUACUGAAUCUGAAAGUGUUUGAUGAGAAGCUCUUUACAGAGAAUUUGCCUGCAAGACUGUAGACCCAGGUUUGAUUCCCUGAGUCAAGAAGAUCCCCUGGAAGAGGCAAGUGGUAACCUACUACAGUAUACUUGCUUGGAAAAUUCCAUGAACAGUCAAUGGGCUACCAUCCAUGCGGUCAGAAAGAGUCAGUAGUGACUAGCAACUAACACUUUUGAGGAAUUUCAACAAUCGAAGCGACUUAGUGCAUAGCAUACCACACAUGACUCUUCUCCACUUUGGUCUCAUAUUUCUAUUUCAUUGCUUUUUCUGUUCUGCAUUUUAGAUUUCCUUAAUGCUACCUCCCAACAUUUUUGUUCAAUUUUCUUUUUUUUUUGACAUCACAUAUUUAAUUUCCCAGUACUCUUGCUCUAUGAUUGUUCCUCUUACGUAGCAUCUUUUCCUGUGGAUGGAAUAUAUUCUUGCAUAUCUCAGAGAAGACAAGUUUAUUUUUUCUAAAUUAUCUUUGUUUCCUCCAAAAUCAGCUUUUCCUUUUAAAUAAA